rnacentral:lncRNA from 1 species
GGAUCUGAAGAAAUCUUGCAAGCUGAAGCCUGACAGUUUGGUGCAAACCUCCGAGGGCUCACCACUUCAGCAGAACAUGCAUGGUUCAGGUGGUUUUACAGGAACAACACUAACAAAGUCCUCUGGAGACCCUUUCUUGGAUCCCGCUCCACCUUCUUAGGAGGUUUAUGAUCACCUCGGAGUUGUUCAGCAAUGAGACAUUUGCCUUGAACAAAAAGGAGGCUAACUACAGAGGACCACCCUGCCCUUGCAUAUUCCAAGACACACAUCUCCAUCCUUGCUCAUGACUCCCGUAGGACUCGCAGAUGGCUCCCUUAGUGACCUGCUUGCAUAAAACCCUCGGUCCCCUUCCUUUUCUUUGAGGAAGUUCUCAUUAACGAUCAUUCUCCUUAUAAUAGCCCGAAUAAAAUCAUAUAUUUAA